rnacentral:rRNA from 1 species
ACUCUAAUGAGACUGCCGGUGACAAACCGGAGGAAGGUGGGGAUGACGUCAAGUCCUCAUGGCCCUUAUAGGUGGGGCUACACACGUCAUACAAUGGCUGGUACAAAGGGUUGCCAACCCGCGAGGGGGAGCCAAUCCCAAUAAAGCCAGUCGUAGUCCGGAUCGCAGUCUGCAACUCGACUGCGUGAAGUCGGAAUCGCUAGUAAUCGUGGAUCAGCAUGUCACGGUGAAUACGUUCCCGGGUCUU